CAGCAGCCGCGGGAAUACGUAGGUCCCGAGCGUUGUCCGGAUUAUUGGGCGUAAAGCGAGCGCAGGCGGUUAGAUAAGUCUGAAGUUAAAGGCUGUGGCUUAACCAUAGUACGCUUUGGAAACUGUUUAACUUGAGUGCAAGAGGGGAGAGUGGAAUUCCAUGUGUAGCGGUGAAAUGCGUAGAUAUAUGGAGGAACACCGGUGGCGAAAGCGGCUCUCUGGCUUGUAACUGACGCUGAGGCUCGAAAGCGUGGGGAGCAAACAGGAUUAGAUACCCGGGUAGUCCCUGUCUCUUAUACAC
rnacentral:rRNA from 1 species